UACAGAGGGUGCGAGCGUUGUUCGGAAUUAUUGGGCGUAAAGCGCUUGUAGGCGGCUUGUUAAGUUCCGUGUGAAAUCCCCAGGCUUAACCUGGGAAGUGCGCGGAAAACUGGCAAGCUUGAGUGCCGGAGAGGGUCGCGGAAUUCCCGGUGUAGAGGUGAAAUUCGUAGAUAUCGGGAGGAACACCAGUGGCGAAGGCGGCGACCUGGACGGACACUGACGCUGAGACGCGAAAGCGUGGGGAGCAAACAGG
rnacentral:rRNA from 1 species